AACAAGGCGUACCUGCGGACCUGCGGAGGGAUCAUUAACGAGCGUAACCUACCCUUUUAAAAAAUGGGUGGUACCUCCCGUCCUUUGCGGGCCCCCUUCUUUUAUUAAGGGGGGGGCUUUUAAGACUUUCUGCUUCGGCGGGGUUAUUCCCGCCGGAACACCUUCAAAAAACUCUUGAUCAAAAAACUGUUCAGUCCGAGAAUUUUUGAAAAUUAAAACAAAACUUUUAACAAUGGAUCU
rnacentral:misc_RNA from 1 species